rnacentral:rRNA from 1 species
UGACCACAAGUUCAACGGCCGCGGUAUUUUGACCGUGCAAAGGUAGCGCAAUCACUUGUCUUUUAAAUAGAGACCUGUAUGAAUGGCUAAACGAGGGCUUAACUGUCUCCCUUUUCAGGUCAGUGAAAUUGAUCUACCCGUGCAGAAGCGGGUAUAACAAUACAAGACGAGAAGACCCUUUGGAGCUUAAGGUACAAAACUCAACCACGUAAAACAACUUAAUAAAAAAUAAAAACUUUGUGAAACAUGAGAUUUUACCUUCGGUUGGGGCGACCGCGGAGGAAAAAAAGCCUCCAAGUGGACCGGGACAAACUCCUAAAACCAAGAGAAACAUCUCUAAGCCACAGAACAUCUGACCAAACAUGAUCCGGCCACCAGGACCGAUCAACGAACCAAGUUACCCUAGGGAUAACAGCGCAAUCCCCUCCCAGAGUCCAUAUCGACGAGGGGGUUUACGACCUCGAUGUUGGAUCAGGACAUCCUAAUGGUGCAGCCGCUAUUAAGGGUUCGUUUGUUCAACGAUUAAAGUCCUACGUGAUC